GGUUCACCGCUGUCUUGUCGCGCUUGGAGCUGGUGGACAGAGUAUAGUAAUGCUUCAGUUCGUGGUACUCAAAACAUGGGCUAACGCAAAUGGGAGUGUUGCACAGCUCUCAUGUACUUUAUAUCAGUAAUGCUUCAGUGUGUGGUACUCCUCAAAACAUGGGGCAACACACAAGGGAGUGUUGCAUGGCACACACAUAAAUUUGGUGAG